rnacentral:rRNA from 1 species
GACGAACGCUGGCGGCGUGCUUAACACAUGCAAGUCGAACGGAAAGGCCUGCUUUCCCUUGUGGAUUGCGGGUACUCGAGUGGCGAACGGGUGAGUAACACGUGAGUGAUCUGCCCCCAACUUGGGUAUAAGCCUGGGAAACUGGGUCUAAUUCCCGAUAGGACUGCAGGGUGGUGCCUGUGGUGGAAAACGAUUUUCUAGUGGUUGGGGAUGAGCUCGCGGCCUAUCAGCUUGUUGGUGGGGUAAUGGCCUACCAAGGCGGCGACGGGUAGCCGGCCUGAGAGGGUGGACGGCCACAUUGGGACUGAGAUACGGCCCAGACUCCUACGGGCGGCAGCAGUGGGGAAUAUUGCACAAUGGGCGGAAGCCUGAUGCAGCGACGCUGCGUGGGGGAUGACGGCCUUCGGGUUGUAAACUCCUUUCGACCGCGAGGAAGCCACCUGGUUGGAAGGGUGGUGACGGUAGUGGUAGAAGAAGCACCGGCUAACUACGUG